UAUUUAUUAGUGUAUGAUGCACGAAGAUUUUUGAAAUCUAAUGAAAUAGUUUAAUUCUAUUAUAUAUAA
rnacentral:tRNA from 1 species